AAUCUUAGCGGCGCCUGGGUGGCUCAGCCGGUUAAGCCGCUGCCUUGGGCUCAGGUCAUGACCCCAGGGUCCUGGGAUCGAGCCUUGCAUCGGGUUCUCUGCUCAGUGGAGAGUCUGCUUCUCCCUCUCCCUCUGCCUGCCGCUGCCCCUGUUUGUGCUCACACACUCUCUCUGUCAAAUAAAUAAAAUCUUAAAAAGAAAUCUAGAAAAAGAGAAAGAAAGAAAAGAAAGAAAGAAAGAAAGAAAGAAAGAAAGGAAAGAAAGAAAGAAAGAAAGAAAGAAAGAAAACCGAAAAAUCCAGGAAUGUUACAAGAAUUUAGGUGUGGUGCAGUUUAGGAUCAGAGGUGGCAUCUCUAAGUUGUGAAGGAAAAAUUCAGUGAUUUACACUGUACUGCAGAGUAGACACCAAAUGGCUAAAGAUUUAGCUGUGGAGAAAGAAGAAGAAAAAGACCUAGGGGAAGAUUUAGGAUAUUAUUUUAUAACCUCACGGUGAAGUGCUUUCUACCUUUGACUCAACAUCUGAAAAGUAUUAAAAAAAAAAAACUGAUGAAUAGAAUGAUAUGAAAAAUGACUUUUUACAAGUUUAUUUAUUUAGUAACCUCUAGGCCCAGUGUGAGGCUCGGCCCCCACCCCUCCCACCGAGCCAACCCGGCGCCCCUAAGAAAUAACUUUCAGUGGAACCUUAAGCACCUGGCAUCAUCACCCUGAGCAAGGCCCAAAGACAGCUAUCCAACAGAAGAAAAUAUUCAAGGCUUAGAGGACAGACAGAGGGCCAACCCCCUUAAUAUGUAAAGUACAGCUACAGGCCCAACCGAUUCACCUAGCCAGAAAAGGGCCGAAGUCCGUGAACAGAGAGAGUUCAGAGGGAGAAGAAACGUGGCGCUCACACACAGGAGAAGACACUCGGCCUGAUUAGAGAAGUACACAGCAAAACUGCGCUGAGGUACCCUUUCCACCACCUCUAAGAAAUGGCCCUCUCCCCCGCCACCUCCCGAUCUGCCCGCCCCGCGUCGCCCAGAAGCAAUCCCACUCGGCCGCCGCCGCGCGGAGUUGCCGGCGAGCCUGGGGAAGGAGGGGCCGCCUGAGAAGGUCCGCCGCGCUCUCGCUCUCGCUCUCGCUCUCGCUCUCGCUCUCGCUCUCGCUCUCGCAGUCGCUGUCCCCGAUCCGCCGAAAUUCAAGGCACUCUCGCGGCGAGGGUGGCCGGGACCAUCCCGCCGCCGAGGGCACAGGCGGCACAGGACCGGCCUCCGCAGAGCGCAGUGUGCAGGCACUGGGGUCCGUGCGUGUCGAUCAGAGUGAGUCUCGCCGAGGAAACGGGAACUGUUCCGUUCCGCGAAUGUCAUCUGGGACAUCCCGUUCUCGGGACGGACCCGGCCGGGGCCCCGGACUCUGGGGCGGAAGACUGCCCGAACGACACGGACGCGAGCGGAGAAGUGCCGAGUAGGGAGGGCGCGCCGGGCACUGGCUGAGCGUGUGGGAGGCAAGAUCCCAUCCACCGAAGCGCUUGCUGAGUGUGCGAUUCGGAGUGGCUGUUGGGCGCGGGCCGGCCGGGGCAACCAGGGAUACUCGGAGGUCUCUCGUUCCGAGGGAAGAGAAGGAACCGUCUGCACAAACGUCUAGUGGUACGGAUGGAACUGUCGACGACGCAAAGGAAACGAGGCCAGGAGUGAGGGCCUGGGUUCUCACCGUGACUUGAAUAUGGAUGAUGGGAGGCCGGUGCCCAGGCGGCGGGGGCGGAAGGCUUCGCUUUCCGGCCAUGUGGGUUCCUCUGGCUGCUCGAUAAACAACGGUGCUGUGGAUCCUGGCUCAUACUCAAUCUCAGAAAGCAUAGCACCAGGCUCACGUGGCUCACCUUGGCGCCCGGUAUGCCGGGGAAAACCGGACAUCGUCAGCGUUUGCUACCGGGCACCCAAGAGGCCCUUCCACGAGAGUUUCCAGGUUCUGAAGGUCUGAAUACCUGAAUCUUGCGACAUGCUCCGAAUGCCAGGAACUGCUCGUUGGCUUGUCCUACCCGGCCUGCGGGAUACCGCCUCCGGACCUCAAAUCCAUCCCCAACAGGUUCGGCCUCACCACGACUUCUGGUCCUUCUUGCGCUUGCAUUGUCAAAAGACAUGCGGUCGGAGAUGUCCCUCGUGUAAUCCCGUUCACCGUCCUCAUUAGAGACCAGUCCUUUGCUUUCAUCUUCUGAUUCCUCUGCCGGUACCGUCAUGAUCGGUCUCACGGAAAUGGGCGCCUCUGGCCGUGUCCUUCUCUUUGUCAUCGGGGGUGGAAAGAUGAAAAUUUCCCAAUUCUCGCUUGCAGUCAGCAAAAGCAAAAUCGAGCCUUCGGAGAUGGUGUCUCCCGCCUGCUUGUCUACCUUCGGGAAAGGGGAAUGCGUACUUUGUUACCGCAACAAGGCAAGGAGAAAACGGAAGGAUGGUGGGUGCCACGGCGACGACUUGUUCCGCGACCGCUGCAUCACCCCUCUGAGGGAUUCCUUCAUUCCCCCAUUUUCCUGAUCCUUGUAGACUUUUUCGUCCUAGCUAUGGAUGGAGGAAUAAGUGCAGGCAGGCCGAAAUACGCCUAGGAUGACGACACGGCAAAUCGUGUCGAGAUACGGGGAAAGUUAGAUCGCGAAGACGCCGUGAUGUGUCUUCGGUUUUGAGAGAGAGGAAAGCGGCGGCAGGAGCUGGCCCGCCACUCACAGCUAGCCGUGGUGGUCUCCGGUUGGACAUACACGGUUUCGCCCAGCAGUGGCAACCUUAAAAAUAAAAUAGCCAGUUAUUUUCCUAGCAAAAUGAGUCUGUUCGGGGAUGGCAGAGGCAUUGCAGUUAGGGACGGACAUGCAAGCUAGGGGGGAGCCUACAGGCAAGUCCGAAGAGGCAAAGGGAAGGUCAGCUUUUUUUUUUUUUUUUCACUUUUUUUAUUUUUUGGAAGGUCAGCUUCUUUUAGGUUUUAGGAGGACAUUGGGGAGGCUUGCUUUGAACCAAAGUUCACUGGAGAAGAACAAGAGUUUGAGGUUGUGGCAGUUUCCCAUCAAAGUGCAAGCGGUGGUUAGUGCCUGGUUGCUGGGGCAAGGAGGGCUCUAUCCUUCUUUUUCUUACAGGCAGGAGCUGAACUGCCUAUGUGAAAAGGUUCCCCCUUGUCAGAAUAAUUUUUGUUUUCCUUCUUCCUGCUGGUUAGGCAGGCCGCAAGGAGUGGUACGUGCUUGAGAGCUCCCCUUUCAGGGCUUCCUGGCUCCAUUUUAAGUGAGAUUUCCUUUAUUUAUUUUCAACAUCAACAUCAGAAAAGGCCGCUCUGGGACCGCGACGAAUCAAGACAGAAGAAGUGAGACCACUCCGUGGUCACGUCGGAACGGAGACAAAAAAAGAAGAAUGUUGUCCGAACAACAAAAUGCACCAAACACCCCCCCUUAUCCUGGCUAAUACGAGUAGCUGCUACUCCUUUACCAGUUUGCAGCUUUGGCCUCACUCUGUUUUUCCUUUCUUCCGGGUAAGAUUUAUUCAGUUACCCAAUCACUGAAUUACCCUGACUUCCCGAAAGCAUCUGUAGGGCGGGGGAGAUCUUUUUCCUUCUGCCCUUCGAGGUUCUUGGGGUGGGGGUGGGGGUAUGGCUGGGGCUUUGUCACAAAAGACAGAUUAACGAGAGAAAAACAAACGGAAGUUUAUUAGUGUGUAUAUCUCAUAUAUACAUGGGAGAAACUUAGGGAUGAGUAACUCAAUGGGGUGGCUAGAACUUGGGCUUAUAUAGCUCCUUAACACAGAAGGAACAGGAAAAAGAGAAAAAAAGAAAGGAAAAAAUAAAUAAAUAAAUAAAUUUUCAGAGAAGUGACAAGACAAAGUAAAAGGGCUUUGAGUUUCUAGGGUGGCAAACUGUAGGAAGUUAAAUAUAGGGGGGAAUAGGAGAAGAUAAGGGCCGUCCAGUAAAGUUUGUUACGUAGAGUCCUCUGGUGCCAGUCUCUGGGCCGAUAAGGAUCUAGGGUUGUCAGUGAUCAACUUCUGUACACAUUUCUGUCCUGCUUUGAGGCAAAUCGGAAGAGGGCAGAGUUCUUCCUUCUAUCUGUUUCAGCUCAAAAUCAUCUUUCUGCCAAAGUGGCAUAUUGGGGGGUGGGCGGUGGGGGGUGGGUUAGCAAAUGCUGCUACCCUUCACACCCCAUUCAAAGGAAGGCCUCGCUUGCUUAAACUGUCCCGCAAGCCCACAUCCUAUACGUAAUAAGCCAUUCCUGACACCCUCGCCCCGAAGCGCGUCCCCUCUCACUUUUGCAACUAGGAUAACCCAAUUCGUCUCAUCACGGGCGUGUUCCUGGUGGUCUUUGGCUGGAUGGUGUUGGCAAGUUAUUAAGAGGCUCCACCGAAGGACCCCUCUGGUAACUGCAAUAUGGAAUGAGUUUUGUUCUGUUUAAGAGGCAAGGUGUUCUCUUUUUUUCAUUACAUCCAUCUGAAGGGUCUCGUGACUAAGGUCUUAUUAGCUGAUAAUAAAUGACCUUUUCCCAACAAUAGCUAGCCCCUUCAAGGUCCUGGAAACCUUGCUUCCAAAAUUCCUUAGAGACUUGGGCUAUCCCUAACCCUUCCCAGCUGGAAAGUAUAUAAUGGACCACUCCUCAUGACCCCAGUGCAGCUCUUUCUGCCCCCGGGCCCUGUCCCCGUGCUUUCGCGAAACCGCCGUUUUGCACCCGAGACGUCUCAGGAAUUCUUUCUUGUCCGUUGGCUUCGAACCUUAACGUUCUUUCCUACAUCAUGGGGCGCCCCGGACGUGGGGAGACUCUGGGUCCAGAGUCUCAUCUGGACUCAGCCUCGGUGCAAACUUGGCGAGUGCUUUCUCUUCUCUUCCUUUACUCUCAUUUUCGGGGCUCUUCAAGGAGCACGGUCUUCCUGGAACACUUUCACGCCGAUUGCUCAGGCUGCAAUCCUCUAGCCCGUGGCAACUCUACUGGGAGGAGAAAGCCUGCCUUUUGGCUGGAAGUUAGUAGUACCCUGGCCGGGAUGGUAACAAGACGCAGAGACUCGAUGCCCUCUCUUAUUCCUGUCCUUACACAAAGUUGUCUGUCUUGGGCACGGGCCAGCCACCUGAGUCACCAGGACGGCUGCCAACCUUAAGACUCCCGUGUGAGGUUUCCUCCUGAUUGAUCUAAUGGGAUCCCCUUCACAUCCCUGGUCUAGCCGCUUCUGGCCGCGGGACCUCCAGUGGGAGCCGGCAGAAACCAGUACCCGAUGGAAUUAGAACCCAACCGGGGACCGUUUCCUAGGGAAGUUCGCUGUAAGGACUGCCUGUGUUGGAAUGUCGCUUGGAUCAUGGUGGAUUUCUGUCUUUACUGUUUUCCAUCAACUGAGUACUUAGUCCUCUACUAAGUACUUAAGCUACAAAAUUCGGUAAUUUCCCCUUGUAAAACUUUCCUAGUGUUGUCCAUGGGUUAAAAACAGCAAGUUCUUGGGGCGCCUGGGUGGCUCAGUCGUUAAGCGUCUGCCUUCGGCUCAGGUCAUGAUUCCAGGUCCUGGGAUCGAGCCCCGCGUCGGGCUCCCUGCUCGGCGGGAAGCCUGCUUCUCCCUCUCCCGCUCCCCCUGCUUGUGUUCCCUCUCUCGCUGUGUCUCUCUCUGUCAAAUAAAUAAAUAAAAUAUUAAAAAAAAAAAAAACAAAAAA